CUCUCUUGAUUUCAAGAGUAGCUUUCUGCUCCAUGAUUUACUUAAAUAGCCGCAGUACUCUGACUGUGCUAAGGUAGCUUAAUAAUUUGUUUCUUGAUUGGAAACCAGUAUGAACGAGAUGACAACUCCACUUCUUUUUUAAAUUUUAAGCUAGAAAUUAAUAUCUGUUUUAAAAAGAACAGCUACCUAGGGGGACGACAAGACCCUGUGAAACUUUAUUUGAAAUUUACUAUUUUAUUUAAACUUGAUUGUAACUACAAAUUAAACUGGGGCGGUAUUAAAAAAACUUUUAAAUUUCAAACAAAUAUAUUUGAUCGGUGUAAGAUCUUGAUAACAAAAGAUAGAAUAAGUUACUCCAGGGAUAACAGCACAAUUUUUUUGUAUAGAUCUUAUAGAUGAAAAAGACUGUGACCUCGAUGUUGAAUUGAAGUUCCUUAUUUGAGCAGAAACUGAUAAAGGAGGUCUGUUCGCCCUUUAAUUCUUC
rnacentral:rRNA from 2 species